UAAAUUAGUUUUUUUUUAUGUGCGCAACGUACUAAUAAAACAAAAAGAACGAAAAAAAAACAUACAUCGUAUCCAUCAGCUGCAGCAUAUUGUUAUUCUGCUACCAUACAUGUCAUACACAUAUAUAUAUAUGUACAUA
rnacentral:ribozyme from 1 species